rnacentral:lncRNA from 1 species
GUUUUUCUUCAUUUAAUGCACAAGACCGGUGGUAAGUUUUUUACUUUUUCAAAUGCAGUUGUGACUUGAGAAAUCACAAUGAAAACCAAAGUUUCUGCAAUCUCUUGAAAGAUUCCAUUUGUCAAUGCUGGGAACAAGAUUUGUGAGCAUGGUUAGAGAACAGUUAUGGUAAAUUAGGAAACCAAGUGGAUUCUCCAGCACGAAACCUUUUGCACAGCUAGAUCAUCCCUGCUAUUAAAGGGUGUUGUCAUAAUUGCAUGUGACCCACACCUACCCCUCGCUAUAUAUUUCAUCUCUCCCCAGGGAAAGUACCGACCCAUGCCCGUGCUUUGGCUUUUAUCCUUUUCACUUUCUUGUUCUCCCCCUUUUGGAAAACCUAUCUUGUCCACACCCUUGGGCAUCUGGGAUUCUUGUCUUCCCUUUGGUAUUCUUCUACUUGGACAUCCUUCAGAUUAAAAAAAAAGUGAGAGGGUGUCAAAAGUGUUCUAGGGUUGAACCUAAUGCAUGUUAAUGCAAUUGAUGGUGUUUUUAUAGGAAGUUUAAUUAAUAUGGUUUUGAACAUGCUAGUAAAGAAUGAUGCAAGAGGCUCUAGAAUUUCACAGAUGUACAGUGGUCCCUCCUAGAAGCCUGAUACGAGCUAUUUCCUAGCAUUGAACCCCAUGUGGAGCCAACUCUUGGGCUUGCUAAGGUCCCUAUUAGAUCCUUUAGGCUUUUUUUUUCUUUUGUUGGUAGACAUUUAGGCUAUGUUCAGUACUCUAGUCAAAGGCAAAAAGAAGGUGAGUCAAAUAUAUGAAGAUCUCUCUCUCAAAAAAAAGGGGGUGGGGGGUGUUGCAAGGAAAAAUUGAUAUAGGAAGAUUUAUUUAAAUAAUUUUUAUUUAAUCUAUUAAUCUGUUUUCCUAGUAGGGGAAAAAAAAUAUCUGGCAGUGGUCUAGUUACUUAGGGUGCACAACAUGUCAGGUUAUAGUGGAUCAAUGGAAGUCAAUAGAGUAACUUGGAGGUAGAUCAUGCUUCAGUGACAUGUGUUUGAUGCUUCAAAGAAGAAGACUUUACAGUUUAGGUGAAAGAACAAAGGAAGCAAUUUAAAGGGGACAUAAUAGAAAAGCAAAAUAAAGGAAACACAUAAGAGAUAUAGAUUUUUCUAUUCAUAUCAAGCUGAAGAAUGGAUACAAAUUGGCAAUGGACACAUUCUUUUGAUCGUCAUCGAGACACUUCUGAGUUAGCAUGAUGUGUGUUCACCAUGGAGGAAAAAUUGUUUGACACAAACUCCACACACUCCAUGGGCAAAACUUGAGCAUUUGAGCAACUCAAAUAACAGGAUGGGCAUUCACCAUCAAGAAAAGCUUUGUCUCUAAGUUGUAUCUUGUUACAAACUUAUUGAGAGCUCAUCCAAGCUAAAUCCUAGAAGCAUGACAAAUAAUAGACCCUUGAGAGAUACCUAAAUAAGAAAACAGUUGGCAUCUCUAUGUUGGGUAUACACGGAUUGAGAUGUCGGAGAGAAGCAGAUCGAUAUCCUAUCUUUUGUCCAUUGAUGCUACAUUCUUUUCAAUGCUAAUUGAUGGUAAAUUCAUGGAAGUUUUGGUCAAGCACUUAAAUUAAUUUCUCUCGAACCAUGUGGCACAUCUUAACUCCUGGC